rnacentral:lncRNA from 1 species
GGAAGGACCAAUCAGAAAGUUUUAUUAUGGGUGCUGUUGUCAGAUCUGUUCGUGAUGUAGAAGAUUUGUAGACAUUCUUCAUUAAAGAUAAAUGGCGUGUCCUUGACCAGUAGAUUACACAAAAGUCUCGAUGUCUUACUAAAAUCUUUGAUGAAGUGUCUGUAAAAUCCAAUAUGAUAUCUUACUAAAGUCUCGUAUUUGUCAAACCGAAGUGGGGGGUGGU